rnacentral:lncRNA from 1 species
CUACAUGCUGAUUUGAUAUAGAACCCUAGAUAGAGCAUCUCGCAAGACCAGUGGUCCCUGGAACCCAGCUUAGAAAACAAGUCAAGGAAAGAGGCGUGGAACAGAUCCUUCCCUCAUAGGCCUCAAAAGGAACUACCCCUUCUGACACCUUGAUUUUGGACUUCCAGCCUUCAGAACUCUGAGACAGCCGAGAUCUCGCCACUGCACUCCAGCCUGGGCGACAGAGCAAGACUCCGUCUCAAAAGAAAAAAAAAAGAGAAAUGCUAAAGAGAGUACUUCAGUCAGAAAGAAAAUGACAUUAAUGACUACUAAGAAAUCAUCUGAACGUACAAAACUCACUGGUAAUAAUAAGGAAAAGGUGGAGAUAGUGAUCGGGUACAAAAAAAAUAGAAAGAAUGAAUUAGACCUACUAUUUGAUAGCACAACAGGGUGAUGAUAGUCAAUAAUAAUUUAACUGUACAUCUUAAAAUAAGUGAAAGAGUAUAAUUGGAUUGUUUGUAACACAAAGGAUAAAUGCUUGAGGGGAUGGAUACCCCAUUUUACAUGAUGUGAGUAUUAUGCAUUGCACAUCU